rnacentral:rRNA from 1 species
AAUGAACGCUGGCGGCAGGCCUAACACAUGCAAGUCGAACGAGUGGCGGACGGGUGAGUAAUGUCUGGGAAACUGCCUGACGGCGGGGGAUAACUACUGGAAACGGUAGCUAAUACCGCAUACCAUCAGAUCUGCCCUGAUGGGAUUAGCUAGUUGGUGGGGUAACGGCUCACCAAGGCGACGCGCCCUAGCUGGUCCGAUAGGAUGACCAGCCACACUGGACCUGAGACACGGUCCAGAAUCCGACGUGAGGCAGCAGUAGGGAAUAUUGAACAAUGGGCGCAAGCAUGAUGCAGCCAUGCCGCGUGUAUGAAGAAGGUCUGCGGGUUGUAAAGUACUUUCGUCGGGGAAGCGUUACCCGAAGAAGAAGCACCGGCGAACUCCGUGCCAGCAGCGGCGGUAAUAC